ensembl:snRNA U1 U1 spliceosomal RNA
AUACUUACCUGGCAGGGGAGAUACCAUGAUCGCGAGGGUGGUUUUCCCAGGGCGAGGCUUAACCAUUGUACUCCGGGUGUGUUGACCCCUGCGGUUUCCCCAAAUGUGGGAAACUCGACUGCAUAAUUUGUGGUAGUGGGGGACUGCGUUUGCACUCUCCCCUA